GCUGGGAUCUCAUGUCUGUCAUAUGGUCCUAAAAAUUAAAAUUAUAGCUAUUUUAAUUUUAUAAUAAAAAUCAGACUGUGAAUGAAAAAAUAAUUGAAAAAACUUACAAAGAGCUCCUGGCUCCCCGUCGUCCACUCUUCUGACCGUCGCUGGUGGGUUCGCUGGUAAAUAUCGAUCCUAUCAGGAAGCUUGCCACUCUCAGCAUCUCUU
rnacentral:lncRNA from 1 species